CCAACCCUGAAUAUAAAGAAUAUUAUGAUGUAAUUCUUAUUCUCUUUUUAUACUUUCUGUCAUUAGAGUAAUAAGCUAAAACGUAUUUUUUUCAGCUGAGACGUCACUUGUCGCUACUUAAAAAUAGUACAACACUGUCUGUCAUCGAGCAAGUGCAGCAGAAGUGGAGAUUGUUUUGUAAAGAGCCACCUAAGGGAUUCGAAAAGUUUUAUAAGCCAGGUGAAGGUAAAAAUGGUAAAAAUGCCACCAAGAAAGCAGAAGAGACAAGUAAAAAUGCUAGUA